rnacentral:lncRNA from 1 species
GCCGCCCUGCCAAACCCUNNNNNNNNNNNNNNNNNNAGUUUAAGCUUGAGGGCUUAAGACCCAACUUGCCCUAAGAAUAGUCCUGCAGUCACCAUGAAGGGCUGGGAGGGCAGUGGAGAGAGGAGACCCAGAUGGGAAGCGGAACUUGAGGGCUGACUCAGUGCAGUGGGAGAAGGAGGGAGAGAGGGGGGCUGUUUAGGGAGCAGAGAGGACCAGAUGCAUGUGGGUUUGGGGAAAGAGGAGCAGGUAGCUUAAGGAAGAGGACGAGUCAGUUUGGGACAGGCUGAGUUGGAAGAGCCACUGAGAGAUCAGAGAGUGGAGUCUCGGAGCAGCCGAUGGAGGGGUCUGGAGCCCAGUGGAGGGGACUGCAUCCAGAAGCCUCGAGUGGCAGGAGGCAUUUAAGCCAUGGAAAUCCACCAGCUAGAUGGGCACCUCCAAGUUUUUAUCCUUAGGAAUAUCUAUAGUUCCCUCCUCUUUGCCUCCCUCCCAAGGCCUUUGAGAGAUGGGGAGAAAAGAAAACAGUCUUGAGAGGGAAGACAAAGGAUCAGGGUGGGGUGGGGCUCCUGGGGUAACACUGAGAAGUCCCUGAACCGGUCCCACUCACCCCAGGGUGUCUGCCAUAGCGCCCUGAGUAGAUGGACAUCUUGAUAUUGGUGUCUAUGGAUCCCUGCAUGCAGAUAUGUAAAGUGAUGUGUUUUCAUUUUCUCAUGAUUCCUGUUUCCCUGUAGCCCUCCCUGAUGAAGCUUAUUGCCCAGUGGAGGGGGCUUCGAAACAAGGCUUCAAGCAAGGUUGACGCAGACAGGCUGCAGAGAAGCUGCUGCUAACGGCAAUGGGACCAGGAAAGGGGAAUCCAAAGAAAGCAGCACCAUCCCUCAACCUCAGAGGCUUGUGUGGGAGAAACCCGUUAGGUCUGAGGGAAAAUCCUGCUUCGAGGGUAGUAGGAAUGAUCAGAUCAAGAUGAAAAGAGUAUGAGAAAAAUGAAGAAUGAUUCUGGUUUGACCCAUCUGGGUAGGUACGUGUGACUCAGCUCUGCAGUAAUCAUGUCUGUACACGUGUGCUGGGGCAGCUGUGGACUUUCAGUUCUAGUCAUCAGCCCUUUCCUUGAAGCUCACUGUGUGUUACCUUGUGGCCAGGAGUUGAGAAUCAUAAAAUUGUCAAAUCUCUAUUAAUUAUCUAUCACUCUAUAAUAAAUUAGUCCAAAAUUUAGCUGAGAUUCA